rnacentral:rRNA from 1 species
CACGUAGGGUGCGAGCGUUGUCCGGAAUUAUUGGGCGUAAAGAGCUCGUAGGCGGUGUGUCGCGUCGGCCGUGAAAACCUGCAGCUUAACUGUGGGCGUGCGGUCGAUACGGGCAUCACUGGAGUUCGGCAGGGGAGACUGGAAUUCCUGGUGUAGCGGUGAAAUGCGCAGAUAUCGGGAGGAACACCAGUAGCGAAGGCGGCACUCUGGGCCGGUACUGACGCUGAGGAGCGAAAGCGUGGGGAGCAAACAGG